UCAUGUUUUACAACUAAUCUCAACAAAUAGGAAAAGUCCUCAAUGGUGGAGAACUUAGGGUUCUACGAAAUUGAAGAGAUAGGGAAGAAAUUGGAACCAAAAAGAAGAUGCAAAGCCUUUCUCAAGGUUCUUGGCAGCUGCUCCAUGCUCCAUUUGCGUCUCCCCUUCGAAUUCCAUCUCCAAUUUGUGACCCAUCUUCUUCCUCAAUCCAAAAGGGGCAAAAUCACCAUUGAUGAAACUUAAAGCUCAAAGAGGAGAAGGGAGAGCUUCCCAGCGCCGCAAGCAGCCUCUAAGGGCCUCUCUCAAUCACUUUAGGUGAAGAAUGAAGUGCAGGAG
rnacentral:lncRNA from 1 species